ACGAACGCUGGCGGCGUGCUUAACACAUGCAAGUCAGGGGGCGGGGGCAGCAAUGCCCGCGUCACCGGCGAAACGGGUGCGUAACACGUGAGCGACCUGCCCCUCGAGUGGGGGGGAUAGCCGGCCCCAACGGCCGGGUAAUACCGCAUACGGCUGCGGGGGGGCAUCCCCCCCCAGCGAAAACCACUUGGGCUCGGGGGAGGGGCUCGCGGCCUAUCAGCUAGUCGGCGGGGGGGGUAACGGCCCACCGAGGCGAUGACGGGGUAGCUGGUCUGAGAGGAUGGCCAGCCACAUUGGGACUGAGAGACGGCCCCAGACUCCUACGGGAGGCAGCAGUGGGGAAUCUUGCGCAAUGGCCGAAAAGGCUGACGCAGCGACGCCGCGUGGGGGGAUGACGGCCCUUCGGGUUGUAAACCCCUGUUUGCCCGGGGACGAAACAGCUCGGUCCGCCGAGCCUGACGGUACCGGGUGAGGAAGCACCGGCUAACUCUGUGCCAGCCAGCCGCGGUAAUACAGAGGGUGGCGAGGCGUUGUCCGGAAUCACUGGGGCGUAAAGGGCGCGUAGGCGGCCCCUUAAGCGUUGUGGUGAAAGCGCGGGGCUCAACCCCCGCGUCGGGCCCAUGCGGACUGGGGGGGCUGGAGCACGUCAGAGGCAGGCGGAAUUCCGGGUGUGUAGCGGUGGAAUGCGUAGAGAUCCGGAAGAACACCGGUGGGCGAAGGCGGCCUGCUGGGCAGUAGGCUGACGCUGAGGCGCGACAGCGUGGGGAGCAAACAGGAUUAGAUACCCUGGUAGUCCACGCCGUAAACGAUGGGCACUAGGUGCUUGGGGGAGCGACCCCCUGGGUGCCGGGCGCUAACGCAAUUAAGUGCCCCGCCUGGGGAAGUACGGCCCGCAAGGCUGAAACUCAAAGGAAUUGACGGGGGGCCCGCACAAGCGGUGGAGCAUGUGGUUUAAUUCGACGGCAAACGCGAAGAAACCUUACCUAGGCUUGACAUGCAGGGGGAAAGCCCCGAGAGACCGGGGCCCCUCUUCGGAAGUCCCUGCACAGGUGCUGCAUGGCUGUCGUCAGCUCGUGUCGUGAGAUGUUGGGUUUAAGUCCCGCAACGAGCGCAACCCCCGUCCCUAGUUACCAGCGCGUCAUGGCGGGCACUCUAGGGAGGCUGCCGGGGGUCAACUCGGAGGAAGGUGGGGGAUGACGUCAAGUCAUCAUGCCCCUUACGUCUAGGGCUGGACACAUGCUACAAUGGCCGGUACAAAGGGCUGCUAUUCCGCGAGGAUGAGCGAAUCCCAAAAAAGCCGGUCUCAGUUCGGAUUGGAGUCUGCAACUCGACUCCAUGAAGUCGGAAGUCGCUAGUAAUCCCGGAUCAGCAACGCCGGGGGUGAAUACGUUUCCCGGGCCUUGUACACACCGCCCGUCACACCACGAAAGUCGGCAACACCCGAAGCCCGGUGGCCCAACCGCAAGGAGGGAGCCGUCGAAGGUGGGGUCGGUGAUUGGGGUG
rnacentral:rRNA from 1 species